UACGUAGGUGGCAAGCGUUAUCCGGAAUUAUUGGGCGUAAAGAGCGCGCAGGUGGUUAAUUAAGUCUGAUGUGAAAGCCCACGGCUUAACCGUGGAGGGUCAUUGGAAACUGGUUGACUUGAGUGCAGAAGAGGGAAGUGGAAUUCCAUGUGUAGCGGUGAAAUGUGUAGAUAUCGGGAAGAACACCAAUGGCGAAGGCAGGUCUCUGGGCCGUUACUGACGCUGAGGAGCGAAAGCGUGGGGAGCGAACAGG
rnacentral:rRNA from 1 species